rnacentral:rRNA from 1 species
AGCGAACGCUGGCGGCAGGCCUAACACAUGCAAGUCGAACGCCGUAGCAAUACGGAGUGGCAGACGGGUGAGUAACACGUGGGGAUCUGCCCGAUGGUACGGAAUAAUUCCGGGAAACUGGGACUAAUACCGUAUGAGCCCGCAAGGGGAACGAUUUAUCGCCAUCGGAUGAACCCGCGUCAGAUUAGCUAGUUGGCGGGGUAAAGGCCCACCAAGGCGACGAUCUGUAGCUGGUCUGAGAGGAUGAUCAGCCAAACUGGGACUGGGACACGGCCCAGGCUCCUACGGGAGGCAGCAGUGGGGAAUAUUGGACAAUGGGCGCAAGCCUGAUCCAGCCAUGCCGCGUGAGUGAUGAAGGCCUUAGGGUUGUAAAGCUCUUUCGCCGACGAAGAUAAUGACGGUAGUCGGAGAAGAAGCCACGGCUAACUUCGUGCCAGCAGCCGCCGUAACAC